rnacentral:rRNA from 1 species
CCUACGGGUGGCAGCAGUGGGGAAUAUUGGGCAAUGGGCGCAAGCCUGACCCAGCAACGCCGCGUGAAGGAAGAAGGCUUUCGGGUUGUAAACUUCUUUUGUUCGGGAAGCGUAGAAGACGGUACCUGACGAAUCAGCUACGGCUAACUACGUGCCAGCAGCCGCGGUAAUACGUAGGUGGCAAGCGUUGUCCGGAUUGACUGGGUGUAACGGGCGUGUAGCCGGGUUGACAAGUGAGAUGUGAAAUCCUGCGGCUUAAACGCAGCACUGCAUUUGAAACUGUUGAUCUUGAGUAGUGGAGAGGCAGACGGAAUGCCUAGUGUAGCGGUGAAAUGCGUAGAUAUUAGGAGGAACACCGGUGGCGAAGGCGGUCUGCUGGACACCAACUGACGGUGAGGCGCGAAAGCGUGGGGAGCGAACAGGAUUAGAUACCCGGGUAGUC